UACGUAGGGUGCAAGCGUUAAUCGGAAUUACUGGGCGUAAAGCGUGCGCAGGCGGUUUUGUAAGUCUGUCGUGAAAUCCCCGGGCUCAACCUGGGAAUGGCGAUGGAGACUGCAAGGCUAGAAUCUGGCAGAGGGGGGUAGAAUUCCACGUGUAGCAGUGAAAUGCGUAGAGAUGUGGAGGAACACCGAUGGCGAAGGCAGCCCCCUGGGUCAAGAUUGACGCUCACGCACGAAAGCGUGGGGAGCAAACAGG
rnacentral:rRNA from 1 species